rnacentral:lncRNA from 1 species
CAACCGUGGAUUGUGUAGUAUUGUAGUAUUUACUAUUGAAAAAAAAUCUUUGUAUAAGUGGACUCAUGUAGUUCAAACCUCUGUUAUUCAAGAGUCAACUGUAUAAACAAUGUUUUCAAAGAACCAGUGUUUGGUUUUAUUGACUUGUUUUGUAUUUUUGUUUUGAUCUCUGGUCUAGAUAUUAUUUCCUUUCUUUUGCUUGUUUUAGACUUAAUUUGUUCUUUCUCUAGUUUCUUUAAUACAAGCUUUGGUUACUGAUUUUAGGUAUUUUAUUUUAUUUUAUUUUUUUGUCUUUUUAGGGAUGCACCUGCAGCAUAUGGAGGUUCUCAGGCUAGGGUUUGAAUCAGAGCUGUGGCUGCUGGCCUACGCCACAGCCACAGUAAGGCCACAUCUGAGCCAUGUCUGCAACUCACACCAUAGCUCAUGGGCAGGACCAGAUUCUUAACCCACUGAGCAAGGCUAGGGAUUAAACCUGCAUCCUCAUGGAUGCUAUAGUCGGAUUCAUUUUGGCUGAGCCACAACGGGAACUCCAAGUCUUUAUUAUUUUUUAAUAUAUUUAUUUAGUGCUGUGAAUUUCCCUGUUAGCACUACUUUAACUGCAUCCAACAUAUUUUGAUGUAUUGUAUUUUCAUCUUUAGUUCAAUGUCUUCAGUUUUAAUUUCACUUGAGACUUUCUCUUUGAUCUAUAUGUUAUUUAGACUUUGUUGUUUAAUUUCUAGUUAUUUGGGAAUUUGCCAGAUAGUUCUCUCUUGUUAAUUUCCAGUUUGAAUUUAUAUUUUAGAAUGCUCUUUAUAUUAUUAUUACUAUUUUCUUAAUUCAAUGAGAUUCAUUUUAUAGACCAAAACAUAAUGUUUUGCUCAGUGUUAUGCAUGUGUAUUUUAGAAAAAUAUGCAUUUUAUUGUUAUUAUUUGGAGUUCUAUAAUUAUAUCAGGUUGGUUAAUUAUGUUGUUCAGGCCUUCUGUGUCUUUUCUGGUUUUCUGACUGUAUUAAUAAUAACUUUGAGAGAGCGGUAUUGAAUCCCAAAGUAAUUUUGGAUUUACUUAUUUGUCCUUUCACACCUAUCAUUUAUUGUCUUAUGUAUUUUGUUAGGUGUAUAUGCAUAUGGGAUUAUUAUAUCUUUUGUAAGAUGUCAUCCUUUUAUUUUUUCGUAAUGUUCCUCUUUGUUCUCUGAUAAUCUUUCUUGUUCUUAUGUUUGUUUCAAAAUAAUAUAGAUUCUCAAGUUUUUCUUUGGUUAGUAUUUCAUGCUAUGUCUUUCUUUUUACUUUUAAUCUUUGUAUAUACAUAAAGUUUAUGUGGGUGUACGUUUCACAGUACCAACCACAGGUUGGUGGUUGGGUUUUUAGGUCAGAUAAUUAGAGUGAGUAUAUUGGUGGAUUGGCUUGUGUUUUAUCCCCUAUGACAGUGUCUGUCUUUUUUCUGGUGUUGUUUAGACCAUUUCAAUUUUAAAGAACAAAUUUUUUUUGCAGGUAAAACUUACAUACCAAAUAAUUUGCUCAUUUAAAGUGUACAAUUAAAUAAUUCUUGGAGUUCUCAUUGUGGUGCAGCGGAAAUGAAUCUGACUAGUAACCAUGAGGUUGCAGGUUCGAUCCCUGGCCUCGCUCAGUGGAUUGGGGUUCUGGCAUUGCCGUGAGCUGUGGUAUAGGUCGCAGACAUAGCAUGGAUCCCAUGUGGCUGUGGUGUAGGCUGGCAGCUGUAGCUCCGAUUCAACACCUAGCCUGGGAACCUCCAUAAGCUGCAAGUGCAGCCCUAAAAAGACCAAAAAAAAAAAAAAAAACUUUGUAAAUUUAAUGAGUUCUUCAACCAUUACCAUAAUCUGGUUUCAUAACAUUUUCUCAUACUAGUUUAAAUUUAAUCUCUGUUCCUACCUUUAACUCCAGGCAAACACUAAUCUACUUUUGUUUCUAUAGAUUUGUCUUUUCUGGACCUUUCAUACAAUUGGAAUCAUAUAACACGUCUUUUGUGUUUGAUUUCUUUUACAUAGGUUAAUUAUUUUGAGGUUCAUACAUAUUAUUAUAUGUAUGUAGUAUUUCAUUUUUUAAAUUUGCAAAUAAUAUUUCAGUUAUAUGAUUAUUGUUUCUGCAUUAAACACUUGAGAAUUUGAGUUGUUUAUGUUUUAUUGGCUAUCAAAUUAUGCUUCUGUGAACAUUCACAUGGAAAUCUUUAUGUGGAUAUGUUUUCAUUUCUCUUAUGUGUGAAAUUGUAGGAUCAUAUAUUAAUUUAUGUUUAACUUUUUAAGAAAUUCUCAAGUUUUUUUUUCACAGUAACUAUAACAUAUUACAUUCCCACCAGCAAUGAAGAUGGGUUAAUGAUGUUUACUUUUUUUAAGAUUUUUCUUUUUUCUAUUAUAGUUGAUUUACAAUGUUUUGUUGAUUUCUGCUCAGCUGCAGCUCCCAUUCAACCCCUAGCCCGGGAAUUUCCAUAUGAUGCAGGUGCGGACCUAAAAUGAAGGGGAAAAAAAAAAAA